CGGUCGAUCACAUCCCCCAACCCAAGCUGUCACAUACAUGCAAGUGUUAAAAGUUAUUAUCUAUUUUAAAUUGUAGACACAUUGCAUGGGGGCAAUUUCACCAUAUGCGGACUUCCAUCAGCACUGAAGGUGGCUUAGCAAGGAUGAAUUUAGGCAGUCUCACCUUUUCCUACCCCUGAUUUUUCCUUGACCUUAAAAACUACAUUUUAUAUUAUAAUUGACCCAUAUAAACACAUGAAAC
rnacentral:misc_RNA from 1 species